rnacentral:rRNA from 1 species
AUUGAACGCUGGCGGCAUGCCUUACACAUGCAAGUCGAACGGCAGCACGGGAGCAAUCCUGGUGGCGAGUGGCGAACGGGUGAGUAAUAUAUCGGAACGUGCCCAGUCGUGGGGAUAACGUAGCGAAAGCUACGCUAAUACCGCAUACGAUCUAUGGAUGAAAGCGGGGGAUCGCAAGACCUCGCGCGAUUGGAGCGGCCGAUAUCAGAUUAGGUAGUUGGUGAGGUAAAGGCUCACCAAGCCGACGAUCUGUAGCUGGUCUGAGAGGACGACCAGCCACACUGGGACUGAGACACGGCCCAGACUCCUACGGGAGGCAGCAGUGGGGGAAUUUUUGGACAAUGGGCGGCAAGCCUGAUCCAGCAAUGCCGCGUGCAGGAUGAAGGCCUCGGUUG